AUUGAACGCUGGCGGAAUGCUUUACACAUGCAAGUCGAACGGUAGAGGGGGCAACCCCUUGAGAGUGGCGAACGGGUGAGUAAUACAUCGGAACAUGCCCAGUCGUGGGGGAUAACGUAGCGAAAGCUACGCUAAUACCGCAUACGAUCUAUGGAUGAAAGCGGGGGACCGAAAGGCCUCGCGCGAUUGGAGUGGCCGAUGGCAGAUUAGGUAGUUGGUGGGGUAAAGGCCUACCGAGCCUGCGAUCUGUAGCUGGUCUGAGAGGACGACCAGCCAAACUGGGACUGAGACACGGCUCAGACUCCUACGGGAGGCAGCAGUGGGGAAUUUUGGACAAUGGGCGCAAGCCUGAUCCAGCCAUUCCGCGUGCAGGAUGAAGGCCCUCGGGUUGUAAACUGCUUUUGUACGGAACGAAAAGGUGGCCUCUAAUACAGGUUGCUGAUGACGGUACCGUAAGAAUAAGCACCGGCUAACUACGUGCCAGCCGCCGCGGUAA
rnacentral:rRNA from 1 species